GGCAUGGAUUAGGCAUGCCAGUCGUGCGCGAAAGUCUUCGGACGAGUAAAGCGGCGAAAGGGUGAGUAACACGUAACCAACGUACCCCUCAGAUCGGGAUAACCACUGGAAACGGUGGAUAAUACUGAAUGGUCCUAGGAAGGACAUCCUUCCGAAGGUAAACGGCGGCUUCGGCUGCUGUUGAGGGAGCGGGUUGCGUCCUAUCAGCUUGUUGGUGAGGUAACGGCUCACCAAGGCUAUGACGGGUAGCGGGUCUGAGAGGAUGAUCCGCCACACUGGGACUGAGACACUGCCCAGACUCCUACGGGAGGCUGCAGUCGGGAAUCUUCCACAAUGGGCGAAAGCCUGAUGGAGCGACGCUGCGUGUAGGAUGAAGGCCUUAGGGUUGUAAACUACUGUCACGCUAUAGGAACCCGUGUAGGUUAAUAGCCUGCGCGCUGACCAAAGCGAGAGGAAGUGCCGGCUAACUCCGUGCCAGCAGCCGCGGUAAGACGGAGGGCGCAAGCGUUGUUCGGAAUCACUGGGCAUAAAGGGCGCGUAGGCGGCCAGUUCAGUCGGAUGUGAAAUCCCCCGGCCCAACCGGGGAACUGCAUUCGAUACUGACUGGCUAGAGGAUGGUAGGAGCCAAUGGAACUCCAGGUGGAACGGUGAAAUGUGUAGAUAUCUGGAGGAACACCGGUGGCGAAAGCGAUUGGCUGGGCCAUUUCUGACGCUGAGGCGCGAAAGCUAGGGGAGCGAACGGGGAUUAGAUACCCCGGUAGUCCUAGCCGUAAACGAUGGGUACUGGGCAAUGGACUUACCUAUGUAGUUCAUUGCUGUAGCUAAUGUGUUAAGUA
rnacentral:rRNA from 1 species